rnacentral:tRNA from 1 species
GCCUGGGUGGCUCAGUCGGUUGAGCACCUGACUUUGACUCAGGUCAUGAUCUCUUGGUUAGUUGGAUUAGAGCUCCGCAUCAGGCU